ACUGAGGAAGCUUCAUCAGUUUAUUGACCAGAAAAAUAGGAAGCUUCACCAGCUCUAAGCUUUCCACUGACAUAACAGUUAAAAGCUUUUUCGCAGGCAAGACGCAAGAGUGGCAGAAACCGCAAAACUGCAAUUAAAGAGUUGCAGUCGAGACAAGACAAGUUCCAUGAGAUGAGACAAGUUCAAGAGAUGGCUGUAGAAUUCGUCAAUGCCCUUAAUGCAGCUGCAGCUGCUGAGAGUGAAUGUGCUAAACUGAGGAGGCUGCUGGAAGAAGAGAGA